CAGUAGCCGCGGGAAAACGUAGGGUGCAAGCGUUAAUCGGAAUUAUUGGGCGUAAAGCGAGUGCAGACGGUUACUUAAGCCAGAUGUGAAAUCCCCAAGCUUAACUUGGGACGUGCAUUUGAAACUGGGUGACUAGAGUGUGUCAGAGGGAGGUAGAAUUCCACAUGUAGCGGUGGAAUGCGUAGAGAUGUGGAGGAAUACCGAUGGCGAAAGCGGCUCUCUGGCUUGUAACUGACGCUGAGGCUCGAAAGCGUGGGGAGCAGACAGGAUUAGAUACCCCAGUAGUCCCUGUCUCUUAUAC
rnacentral:rRNA from 1 species